rnacentral:rRNA from 1 species
UACAGAGGUCUCAAGCGUUGUUCGGAUUCAUUGGGCGUAAAGGGUGCGUAGGCGGCGCGGUAAGUCGGGUGUGAAAUCUCGGAGCUUAACUCCGAAACUGCAUUCGAUACUGCCGUGCUUGAGGACUGGAGAGGAGACUGGAAUACUUGGUGUAGCGGUGAAAUGCGUAGAUAUCAAGUGGAACACCAGUGGCGAAGGCGAGUCUCUGGACAGUUCCUGACGCUGAGGCGCGAAGGCCAGGGGAGCAAACGGG